UACGUAGGUGACCAGCGUUGUCCGGAUUUAUUGGGCGUAAAGAGCGUGUAGGCGGCCAGCCAGGUCCGUUGUGAAAACUAGAGGCUUAACCUCUAGACGUCGAUGGAAACCGUCUGGCUAGAGUCCGGAAGAGGAGAAUGGAAUUCCUGGUGUAGCGGUGAAAUGCGCAGAUAUCAGGAAGAACACCCGUGGCGAAGGCGGUUCUCUGGGACGGUACUGACGCUGAGACGCGAAAGCGUGGGGAGCGAACAGG
rnacentral:rRNA from 1 species